CCUGACUGCAGCUGUUUCGCUCCCACUGGGAGAGACUGUUAAUCACGCAGUGAGAUUGACGAGAGUGGUCAUUGGGAGGUUUUCCUACUAGUUCAUCAUGUAUCGUAAUCACAUGGCGUUGUGUUCUCCAGAACUGUGUGUGGCAAACAGUUCCCUUUUGCAGAUGGAUACCCUUCUCCUACCCGUGGUGUUGGAAGAGGCUGCAUCAACACCCUGGAAAGAUGUUUGUGGUGCACUAAUAACACUUUUUUUGAGUGAAAAAUUAGUGUAUCGUCUUCAAGCUUGAUAAGAAGCAAUCAGUUACAAGGCAAAAGUACAGAUUGAGGCCUUCAAUCAAACUGAGGACAGAGACAUAUAUGUGCACCAGGUCAAGGCUUCUUGCAUGCAUAGAUUUUAGAUUUAAGACAACAAUAACUCAUUUUGAAAAAUAAUAUGAAUUGCCAUAUUAGGCAUAACCCAAUUGUAUGUUGCUUUUCUUCCACCCAAGCCUUAUACACCUAUGUCAGGAAGCAGACAACUGUCUCUUAAUGAUGAAGUCCCCAGUCUAGAUUGAAUAUCAUAUUUAUUUGAUUAGCUUGAAUCAAUUGUGUUAAGACUUGGCUGAAGAAGAAUCUUGCAUACUAUGGCUCUAUUGGAACAGUUGGCCACACAUUUAAAGGUACAUUUAGUAGGCCUAAGUCCCAGUUUCUGCUAGCUGCAUUGUUUGUUUAUAUAGCAUUUAUACAAGGCAGAAAUAUUAUUACCUAGCUGAAAAUUUUAGAAUGCCAGCUUCAGUGAGAAGUAUAGCAACAUCAAGGCAACUUUGUAACAACUGACCCCAUUUUUCCAAAGCCAAACCUGCCCAUUAGCUGCUG